UACGGAGGUGGCAAGCGUUUGUUCGGAAUUACUGGGCGUAAAGCGCGCGUAGGCGGCUUUGUAAGUUAGAGGUGAAAGCCCGGGGGCUCAACCCCGGAAUUGCCUUUAAGACUGCAUCGCUUGAAUCCGGGAGAGGUGAGUGGAAUUCCGAGUGUAGAGGUGAAAUUCGUAGAUAUUCGGAAGAACACCAGUGGCGAAGGCGCUCACUGGACCGGCAUUGACGCGUGAGGUGCGAAAGCGUGGGGAGCGAACAGG
rnacentral:rRNA from 1 species